AUUAGGAAAAGGAAAUCCUAAGCAUACAAAGAAAAGAAAAUCGUAUAAGUAGAAAGAAAAUGCCUAUUUGGUUAUGGCAUUCCCAAAUCGGUUCAUAACAGCAAAGCACGGGAGAGAAUACUAGUGGAAACUAAAAGAAUAGCAAGAAAAAUUCAUUACUUGAACGACAAAGAAAUACAAGACCGGUUUGGUUUAAGAGACACACAAACGACACCGUAUAAGUAGUAGACAUCGUUAAAUAUUAAAGGCCGGUUUGGUUUAAAGUGGAAAAAUAUAACCGUUAGAAAAUGCAGGCUGAGCGGUUCAAAUUCGAAACAAUCGAACCAAGUUUUAAAAUAUAACCGUUAGAAAACGUGUCUUCAGUAAACGCCUCCGUUAAUCAAGUAUAGACGCGUUAAGAAUAAUCGUGUGCGUGUCAAUUUAUUUCCACAGUUCCUCUUUCUGGGAAGGAUUCUCUCGAUCGAUUCUUCCAAAAUUUGCAAAACUGGAAAAAAAAUCCGAUUGCAAUCUUAGAUUAAUUUUGUUUUGAAGGUUGAUUCCGCCUAAAACCCGAUGUGAUUGUUUGGGCUCCUCUCACUCGUCAUCGUUGAGAUGAUAUAUUAUCGCUUGGAGGAGGAAACCCACCGGCCUUUUAGUUGCUGCUUUACAUACCUCGAAGCUUACUCCGCAUGAAACCAUCGUCACCAAGGUAUGUGCUUCAGAAGGUGUUCAAAACCAAAUUGUUCAAGAUUUUGAGGAGAUUUCAAGUGUAGCGGACUUUUGUGACAGGUAUGUGCUUUUCAAACUUGCUUGUAAUUAGUUUCUGAAAUUCAAACAUAUGUGAAAUCAAGAUUAAUUUCAUUUCCACUAGACACGUGCUUGAAUAAGCAUCCAAAAUUUUAACAUAUUUAUGUGUUAGCCUUUAUACUUAUGUGAGAGCUUGAAGUAUAUAUGCCAAUAUUGAUUUUCUCAGGUAUGUGCUUCUCUUAUGGAUGCCCAAAAAAGAUUUUUCUAACGUUUACAGUUCUUUGGUGAAGUAUGGAUUUAUCACCCUCUUUAUAUUGUAUAACUUUGGAUUUGAAUCAAUGUUUCAGAGUAACCACAUCUCUGUUUCGUGAAGAAAACACUGGUCACUUGAAAUUCUGCAGGUCUAUUUUCUUCUGCAUCAACCGAUUUCAAAUCCUAAUGUGGUGUAUCUCAAACCUCCAUACAUGGGUUCUGCACAAUCACUUAAAAAUACAAAACAUACAUACAUAGAUCUGAACAGAGAGAGAAACAAAAGAAUAUGAAGCAAUGGAGGAGAAGAAGAGAUAAAUACAGUUUAAAAUCGUGGUGGUAAAUCGUGAUAUACCACCACUGAACGUGAUGGUGAUAAUGGGAGAGAAUUUAGGAACAUAAGUAUUUGAAAUUUCCUAAUAAAAUCGAAAGAAUAUAAAUUUAUGUUGAUAUUAAUUAUUUUUUUGUUAAAGUAUGAUAUGCUUCAGAAUUUGAUUGGCUAGGUUGGUUAUUUGAAAUU